GGGCUCACUUUGGCAAUACAUAUCCUAAAAUUGGAACUAAGCAGAGAAGAUUAGCAUGGUCCCUGUACAAGGAUGACACGUAAAUUUGUGAAGUGUUCCAUAUUUGU
rnacentral:snRNA from 1 species